rnacentral:rRNA from 1 species
AUUAAACGCUGGCGGCAUGCCUUACACAUGCAAGUCGAACGGCAGCACGGGGGCAACCCUGGUGGCGAGUGGCGGACGGGUGAGUAACACAUCGGAACGUGCCCUGGAGUGGGGGAUAACGCAGCGAAAGCUACGCUAAUACCGCAUAUUCUGUGAGCAGGAAAGCAGGGGAUCGCAAGACCUUGCGCUUUGGGAGCGGCCGAUGUCGGAUUAGCUAGUUGGUGGGGUAAAGGCUUACCAAGGCGACGAUCCGUAGCGGGUCUGAGAGGAUGAUCCGCCACACUGGGACUGAGACACGGCCCAGACUCCUACGGGGGGCAGCAGUGGGGAAUUUUGGACAAUGGGCGGAAGCCUGAUCCAGCCAUGCCGCGUGAGUGAAGAAGGCC